UGGGGCGUAGCCAAGCGGUAAGGCAGCGGGUUUUGAUCCCGUCAUGCGUAGGUUCGAAUCCUUCCGCCCCAGCCA
rnacentral:tRNA from 1 species